GUACAGACGCUGGCUCCUGGCAUUCGGCUACGAACUGGAUUUUCUCAUAUCUGGAUCCGGAGUCACUUUACGCGGCUAUUUCAGCAAAUUUCAUCCUGUCAGACGGCAAACCGGUGUAAAAUAUGUGUGAAAUUUGAAUUAUAUUUCGGGUAGACCAACAUGCAUCGCUUUGUUUGUAUAUUGGCAAAGCCAUUUUGUUGGGUUUAAAGAUUGCUGUACAAAUGUCAUUGUCGGUCCGAGAAUGCUUGGCUGUUCCGUCUUUUUGUGCUUUCUCGUGAGUUUAGCGGGGACGGUGAGGAAAACAAACAGAUCGAACGAAGAAAGAUCGAAAGCCGGUCGGUUGAAGAGGUUAUUUGGCGGGGAAUGACUCGCUUUCAUGCAUUCCUUAAUCGGUGCUUGUUGCUUUUCCUACACAUAUUCGUACUUUCGAAUAUCAUUCGUUUUGAACCGUGGUAGCAGCAGAGUAUAGUCUAUCCGCUUCGGUGUUGUGUUUUAAUGUCCGUGUUUACAGUAUCAAUUUUAGCUAAUUCGACGUCCAUCGAUAGAUAUUUACCACUUCAAAUUCGGUGUUAAACAUUUACCGCUAUGCAUACGAGGCGUUUGGUAAAGCGUUCGAUCCUGGGGAGCCGGGUGUUUACGCCGAGUCCGACAGGGGACGGGGCUCCGUUGACAGGACUUGUACAGGCUGUCAAGCAGCAGGAAAACAGAGACGUUUCAACCGGACUGCGGCGUAAUGUCUACAUGGUGUUAAUGCAAGACGGAAGCCUGAAAGAAUUCUCAGAGGACGAGAUAGCGGUGGGCUUCAACCAAACGACGGCGAAAGGACCGCUCAGAUCGAGCUUGAAGCAGAGCGUCUGGAACGGCCGGGGGAACGGGGCUCCUCUGCAGAGCCAGACCAUGGAGGCCCAGAAGGGGGAGGCCAACUCCCUGAGCCCAGAGGCGUUGAAGGGGGAGCGGGGAGCAGACGGUAGGAGGACGGGGCGCCCCCUUGAGGGUCCAGAGAGGGACCACACCCGCUCUGUCUCCCUGCUGGAGCAGAAACGCAAGGUGGUGUCAUCCAGCAUCGAUGUGCCCAACGUCAGGAAGUCAGAGGAGGAAGUGGACAUGGAGAAGGUGACAGCUGCCAUGGUUCUGACCAGUCUGUCCAGCAGUCCGCUGGUCAGGAGUCCUCCCGUCAAAGUCAGUGAGUGUCUGAAUGGCUCGUGGAAGGACAGAGGUGGAGGCUUCACCCCCUCCAGUUACAGCAGCAGUGGCUAUUGGAGCUGGAGCGGCCCUAGUGACCAGUCCAACCCGUCCACCCCCUCCCCACCGCUCUCCGCAGACAGCUUCAAGCCUUUCCAUAUGCCCAGCAUCAAAGGCCCGCCCCCCGACGACGCCAUCGACGAACAGGACGGCAGCAGCCUGCUCUUUGACGAGCCAAUCCCACGCAAGCGCAAGAACUCCAUGAAGGUGAUGUUCAAGUGUCUGUGGAAGAACUGUGGGAAGGUUCUGAGCUCGGCUGCUGGGAUACAGAGACACAUCCGGACCGUUCACCUGGGGCGUAACUGUGACUCUGACUGCAGUGACGGAGAGGAGGAUUUCUACUACUCAGAGAUCAAACUCAACACAGACUCGGUGGCUGACGGUCUGAGCAGCCUGUCCCCUGUCUCCCCCUCUGUGCUGUCCCCCGCCCCUCCCUCCAAUGACCGCCACAGACGACCCCCCGCAGAGGGCAGCAACGGGUCCAGUGGGAACAAGGAGAACCACAGCCACGCCCACUCAAACACCACGCCCCUCAGUCGCUCCGCCCCCAGCGCCCUCUACCUCAUCCACACUGACCACGCCUACCAGGCUACAUCUCCAGUUACCAUCCCCUCCACUGGGUCAGGCUCUGCUGCCUCCACCUCCUUCACCCCCAGCAGCAGCUCCAAUUUCAGCAUCUCCUGGCAGUCACCUCCUGUCACCUUCACUGGCACCGCUGUCUCUCCCACUCACAGUCGGACUCAGAGUUUUGUAGAGCAGCGGCCCCAGACCAUAGCAGUCCUCUCCUCCCCUCCCAGAGCCACUGGCUCACUCAGCCGUAAGUCCCGUGGCGAGGGUAAGAAGUGUCGUAAAGUGUACGGGAUGGAGAACAGGGACAUGUGGUGCACUGCCUGCCGAUGGAAGAAAGCCUGCCAGAGAUUUACUGACUGAUUUACUGACUGAACCAACCAAGUAACCAACCGACCAACCGCUGUGGCUGCAUGCCCUUCGCCAUGGAAAUCAGGGAUGUUCCUUUCUGUUCCCUUCCUAAGCAUGCGUUAACGUCACUCCAAAACCAAUGAUCAGUCUACUCCAAUGACCCCUCCCUAACCCGACUGUCUAUCAGAACCAACAGGAUGGAGCUGUCCUGAGUAAAUCCCAAGUUAACUCUAGCUCCCUCCCACUUCCAACCUCGGAAGCAACAACCAACACGCAGCUCUAAAGAUGACAACAACAUCAAAAUAACUCUGCUUUUUAUAUGUUGAGUUUGUUGUCUCUCUUCUUUCUAUGUUUUGAAAAACAAAAGGCAUCUCAGAUUUUUUUUUUUUUAAAGGAACAUUCGUCAGGCUAGAAGGGACCAGAAAACAGGCUUCCUUUGUCCAUAGAAGACUGGCCAUUUUGUUUUAUCUUUGGGAGAAUCAAAAGAGAGGAGGGGAAAGAUCCUUCUUUCCUCAGUCCCUUUCUCUCUGUUCUAUCCUGUACAGUCUGGAUCUCUACUCCCUCUCUCCUCCGUCGUCACCCCAGGGAAUGGAUCUUGUGUCUGGACUCGGGAGGGGUCGAUAGCACCCCCUGGUGGGGGAAAAUGGAUCAAUUCCAAAACAAAUACAAAUACCCAGUCAGGGUGCUGAACAGACUAACAUUGCCAGCAGCAACAAGCCUCACGCCACAAGCAAUUCAACACACAGCAACACAGGACAACACAGUUUUCUAUCUCAAAUGUGACAGAGGCCAACCCACUGGUGCAGCUAGCUGAUUGGUUUUGUUGACUUGUCUAACUCCACCCACUUCCUCUUGAUGAGACCAGCCACCUGGUUGGCUGGGACACAGGAAGCUAAGUCAAAUGGUUUAUUCAUUGUGAAAGUGACGUUACUGUACUAUGCUUUUAUAUCCAUGCUGAGGAGUAUGCAAGUGCGCAUUUCGGGAGAAGUGUGGAGAAUCGGGACGUUGCCUAAUACUCUUAAAUGAAGGGCAAUAUAACAUGGGUUAAAGGUCAAAGAAGUACACACACACAGUCCAGCACCAGCUAUAUAAACACACUAUUAUACAGUACCCACUCUGUUCACAACCCAGCUUCCUCCUCACCUCGAUUAUACUGCAUAGGACUAUCCUUUAUCUUACUCAACACUUUUCUCUUUUUGGUCUUCUAUUCGUACGUUUAUGUAGAUGGAGCUCUGAUUCAAUUGUUUAUUAAGCUAAAUGUUCUCCACUUUAAAGCUAAACAAUUUAUCCAACACUCAAUGAAUAAGAGAGGUUCAGUCGGAAGCGAAGAAGGGCGACAAUAAUUUAUGUGUUGUAUCAUUCAUUCACCUGUAGGCUAAACCUAUGUUGUGAACAUGGUAUGACCUGGGUCUCGUUCAUUCACCUGUAGGCUAAACCUAUGUUGUGAACAUGGUAUGACCUGGGUCUCGUUCAUUCACCUGUAGGCUAAACCUAUGUUGUGAACAUGGUAUGACCUGGGUCUUGUUCAUUCACCUGUAGGCUAAACCUAUGUUGUGAACAUGGUAUGACCUGGGUCUCAUUCAUUCACCUGUAGGCUAAACCUAUGUUGUGAACAUGGUAUGACCUGGGCCUCGUUCAUUCACCUGUAGGCUAAACCUAUGUUGUGAACAUGGUAUGACCUGGGCCUCGUUCAUUCACCUGUAAGCUAAACCUAUGUUGUGAACAUGGUAUGACCUGGGUCUCAUUCAUUCACCUGUAGGCUAAACCUAUGUUGUGAACAUGGUAUGACCUGGGUCUCAUUCAUUCACCUGUAGGCUAAACCUAUGUUGUGAACAUGGUAUGACCUGGGUCUUGUUCAUUCACCUGUAGGCUAAACCUAUGUUGUGAACAUGGUAUGACCUGGGUCUCAUUCAUUCACCUGUAAGCUAAACCUAUGUUGUGAACAUGGUAUGACCUGGGUCUCGUUCAUUCACCUGUAGGCUAAACCUAUGUUGUGAACAUGGUAUGACCUGGGUCUCAUUCAGUGCCAUUGUAUUAUGAUGUGGACAUCUGGUUGUUUAGAGAGAAAUCUAUAUAUACUUAAAGAGUAGAUGUUUAAAUCUAAAGUGAAAGAGAUGGAUCUGGUUGUUGUUGUUUUUUCUACUAUUUUGCAUUUAUUAAUGACUAUUAUAUGUUGUUUUUAUGUUCAGCUGAAAGAAGACAGUGGAUGGUGUAAUCGUGUCAUUCUGAGGAGAAUUCUUUCAUUCUGAAACCAAGGAAUGCUUGUUUUGUUACACAGCACCAGAACUCCACAGCACCAGCACUCCACAGCACCAGCACUCCACAGCACCAGCACUCCACAGCACCAGAACUCCACAGUCACCUAAAUACACACACACACACACACACACACACACACACACAUACAGUAACCCUUUAUAAUAUCUGGAAGUGUCGUUUAGCAACUCCAACCUGACAGCUCGCUCUGUGUGUGAGAGAGCAUGAGUGAGCUCUUCGGCUUGUGUCUGGCCCAAUGAUGUAUAUAAACUCUGGAUGACUGACAGGGGGCGCUGUAUUGAAGCCAUCUUGCUAUUCCUCCAUUCUAAAAAAUAAAUACAUGUAUCAAUCUUAAAGUAUAAUUUUUAGAGUACUAAUGUUACUGUCCUCACUACAACAAAAAAUACUUAAAUACAUGUCAUUUUGUCCUUUGCAUUUAAUUGAAAUACUGUAGAAUUCCACUCAUUCCUAUGGAGGACUGAUCUUACUGGGGAGUGGCGAUAUGGCCGACCACUGGCUUCAAAGCCUCUCAUUGGCCAAUACAUGGCACCAGUAAUCCAGGGUUUGUAUGCCCCCACACCACAUCCUCGCCUCCUUCUGUUAAAAACAAUUUGUUAUGAAAUGACAGGACGGGCAACGUUUAAGCUACAGGAGUCCACCCACCCGGGAUUCUGUUGUUUUAACGUUUACCGUUGAUGUAUGUUGUCAACGUUCCCUCUCUCUGGUAUCUAAUGGCGAUGCCUUGUUUACCUCACUGUGGUGCUUUUUAACAUUUUUUGUUUAAUAAACGGUAUCCCCGUUCAUAGAAAUAUCAUUCUAGAUGAUUUUUUCUAUGUCUCCGUUGUUGUGUGUAGAUUGUCAGCCCGAGAGGUGCUGUGCACUCCGUUAGCAGGGAACGCAGUGAGGGGGUCUCUUCUGGUCCAAUAAGGUUUCACUAUAAUGCUCUUUUAUAUGGCCAUGCUGUUACACUGUAGUAGAACAUGAAAAUAAAAAACAACUGCCUCAAGACAAGUUCUUGUGUCUCAACAGAGAA